CAGCAGCCGCGGGAAUACGUAGGGCGCAAGCGUUGUCCGGAAUUAUUGGGCGUAAAGAGCUCGUAGGCGGUCUGUCGCGUCUGGUGUGAAAUCCCGAGGCUCAACCUCGGGCUUGCAUCGGGUACGGGCAGACUAGAGUGCGGUAGGGGAGACUGGAAUUCCUGGUGUAGCGGUGGAAUGCGCAGAUAUCAGGAGGAACACCGAUGGCGAAGGCAGGUCUCUGGGCCGCAACUGACGCUGAGGAGCGAAAGCAUGGGGAGCGAACAGGAUUAGAUACCCCAGUAGUCCCUGUCUCUUAUAC
rnacentral:rRNA from 1 species